UUUUUUUUUUUUUUUUUUUUUUUUUUUUUUUAAGGAUUCUAUUUAUUUGACAGAGAGGACACAAGCCAGAGGAGUGGCAGGCAGAAGGUGAGGGAGAAGCAGGCUCUCUGUCGAGCUGGGAACCUAAUGCAGGACUUGAUCCCAGGACUCUGGGAUCAUGACCUUAGCCGAAGGCAGAUGCUUAACCAACUGAGCCACCCAGGUGCCCUGUCAGGAUGCUUUUAAAGAAAAAAGUGUGAGGAUAUAUUUUUUGUGUAACCGGAAAUCUCAUUCCUAGUUAUUAAGAAGCAGAGCUAGCAUCUGAAGCCAGAUUUGUCUAACUCUAAACCCAGGGCUCUUAUUCUUAUUUUAUGGAAUAUUCUUUCAUUUUCCUGGUUCACAUCAUUGUUUUAAAACUUAGUUAUUGGCAGAGUUCUUUAUUAAUACUAUAUUAAAAGUUUGAUUAUAUGAAUUUGAAAAGUAUAGCAUAUUCAUUAAAUCAGUAGACAUUAGAAAAAUCUUGGAAAGCUAUAUGAGUGUAUUGGCUUAUUUAGCAGAUUAGCCCUUUUAUUUUAGGGAAUUUCAGGUUAUGUGUCAAGUGACCAGUUUGAAACUUCAAGAAUAGGAGAAAUACACUCUGUAGGUAUGAUACAAUUGCCUUCAAGAGUUGAAGAGUGUUAAAGAAUAGCAUAGGAAUUUUGAUGUGUUAUAAUCUCUAUUGCUACUAUUUUUUUUUUGUAGAGAAUAGGAGCCUGUGUCUGCAGAAUUGCACAGGACAAAGUUCUUGUAAAUGCCUACACUGUUUCUAGUUUCAGCUUUUUUUAUUUAUUUAUUUAUUUAUUUAUUUAUUUAUUUAUUUAUUUAUUUAUCUAUUUAUUUAUUAUUUAAUUUUACAAAUCCAUCUUUGGCAACCUCGUUUACUUGACUAAUAAAUGACAGUAAAAAUAAAAUAAUUCUGUGAUCAUAUGGAUUUUUGUUCUUGGUCCUUGUUUAGGAGUCAAGUAGUUUAGAAGACAUAUUAAUUAGAUUCAGUAGCAGUUGGAGGUCACUUGGAAGUGAGUUGAUAAUUUGAACGAAAUACAAGAAAUACAUUAAAAAAAUCAAGUGUAGGAACAUUACAGGUAAAUCAACAUGAGUAUUUUUAUCCCUUUAGAAAAACUUAAGAAAAUGCUGUGGAAAAAAGAAAAACUUUUUUUAGAUAAAAAAUUACGAAAUCACAUUAAAAAUUGGUAUAUAUUUUUAAUUCAUUUAUUUCACAAAUCUUAAUUGGAUACAUAUUUUAACCCUAGCUGGUAGUCUUCUAAUCUGAUAAAGACUGUCUCCUACGCCAGAAAUAUAGACCUGCAAGGAACUAUGGCUGCUCAUUAUACCGAAGUUUCUAGCACUCAACGUAGUGGCCCCCAUGAAAUAGGAAAAUAAUUAGAUAGAUAGAUAGAUAGAUAGAUAGAUAGAUAGAUAGAUAAAUUAGCAAAUUAGAUUUAUUAAAAUCAAGUGUUUAAAGAUUAUUUAAAUACCCAGUUUUGUAAAUGAUUCUCAAAAAGAAGUACAGGAUACCCUAGUUGUUAUUUUCUGUUAGUAAGAUUUAAGAUUUCCCGAGUUCCCCGAUGUUUGAUGUUUGAAUACAACGCACAGCUGUUUAUGCACACAUCUGCGGAUCCUUUCUUCUUUAUUCAGGUCUGGGAGACCGGUUAGCUUGCUGAGAAGGAACUUUAUAUUUUAUUACAUUCUGGUGCCGCUUAAGGACAACCUCGUGUAAAUCCUUUCUAAUUGUUUCAAAAGUUGUAGAUCGAGCAAUUAUAAGUAAAGCAGCCUUGUAUCUGUUGCCUACUAUACUGGAAAGAUUCAUUUUCUUUUUGUAUUAUCUGUCAUAUCAAAUAAAGAGGCUGAGAGUUUAUUUGUGAUAAACGUACUCUAUUUAAUGCAAUGGGACAGUCCGUUAAUUUGAGCACCUCGCAUAGUGUCAUCCUAAAUCUCCUUCUGCUGAUUUAAUUAGCAAAAGCUCCAUAUUAAUCACUUUGCAAUUAAAUUUUUUGAGUCUCCCAUUGAAAAACUAUAAUCCUUUCACAAAACAACAACAAAAAUUUAGAAUGAGAUCAGUAAUAAAAGUAAUUUGCAUUUUUUAAGCAAAUGUGUUAAACGGCUGAUGAAUUAUUCAACAAUUGGUGUUGGUUCUUCAGACUUAAUAAGCCUCUUUAAUUUGACUUCCAUACCAAAUUAUAAAUUUUAUUCUGUAUUUAUGAAUUGAAAAGUAUUCAUUAGUAAAAUGCAUUCAUCAUUGUACUAUAUAUAUAUGGUCAAUAAGGAAAGAUUUUUUUUUUCUAAUUUGGCAGGAAAUUUUGUUCUAGCAGCACAAGCAGAAUUCCUUCCCAUGAUAAAAGUAGUUUUUAUCACCAUUAUUCAUUUUACUGCCAUAUUUAUUAUGAGUAGGUGGAAAUCUACUCUUUUUGUUUUGAUUUUUUUCCCUAGAUGUCAUAUGUUGAACAAUCACACAGAAUCCAAUUAUAAAUCUAUUUCUAAAGAGCCUUGAGGCUGUUUUAGUUUUUCUCAUCUUGAGUGGCACAGUUCAAAGUUCUAGCAAGCUUGAAUCCUGUAUAUAUAGAGCAUAACAUCAUAAUAUUUCUUCAGAGAGAGAUAAAGCGUCUCACAAUUCUUGGGUAUACACACUUCCACUGACAAAAUAACAGUUCAUUAAUAAUGAAAAUGCUGUAUUUUAAGACCAAUAACAAAGACCUCAAAUGAGCCUAGUUUGUGCAUUUUUAUUUUUUAUUUUUAUUUUUUUCAUUUAUUUAUGAUAGUCACAGAGAGAGAGAGAGAGAGAGAGGCAGAGACAUAGGCAGAGGGAGAAGCAGGCUCCAUGCACCGGGAGCCCGACGUGGGACUCGAUCCCGGGUCUCCAGGAUCGCGCCCUGGGCCAAAGGCAGGCGCCAAACCGCUGCGCCACCCAGGGAUCCCUAGUUUGUGCAUUUUUAAAUACUUCAUUGCGUUUAAAUGUAACAGAUAUGCUACUAAUCUAUAAAUAACAGGUAUACAAAUAUUUGCUAACUGGUAUUGAGGAUUUGCUGUGUACCUGGCUCAGUUUUAAGUACUUUGCACAUUCCUCAAAACAAACACCACUAGGUGUUAGAGGCUACUAUACUGUAUCUUUAUUAGGAAACAAAGUCGGAGAAUUUAGUUACUUUCCCUGAUAGUCACUGAAAAAGCAGUUAUUCAAGCCCUGUCCAGGCUGAUUCCAUAGCCCGUGCAGGUAACCUCUGAGCACUACCACCCUCUCUAAACCAUACUGGACAUGCUUUGAGCUUCCUACUGAGCUGCAGCCAUUAUCCUAUUUUGAAUCAUUUCAUUUUGGGGAAUAUAAGCUUUGUGCUCUUCUACAACAUAAUGUUAAUGAAAUGGUUCGUAAAAGAAUUAAGCGAGUUCUGAUUUCUUCUAACUGGAAUAAUAAUGGUCAUCUAACCGUCUAAUUGUAGCUCAUUUGUAGGUAAUCAAAAUCUUUUUUUUUUUUCCAUGAAUCUUUCCAAGUGUGUCUUAGACAGGCAAUUCUCACUUUUUUUUUUUAUUUUUUUAUUUUUUACCUAAGGAGUAUUUUGGCUCACUGUAAUCCCUAGAUAUUUUUUCUGCCAAAGGACAGAUUCUAGAGAUGGAUGGAAAUAGAAACGUAUUAAAGCCACAGUAUGUAAGAGAUGUGUGUCUCACAUUUUAUUGUAAAAUUUAGAUUUAGGAUUUUCUAAAAUGGGCUAUAUUAAUCAAAUCUCUUCUUCCAUUUUCAUCAAUUUGAUGUUUUAUGUAAAACAAAAAUGAAUUCUUGAGAAUAGAUCUCAAGUCGUUGCACGUAAUAGGAACUCAGUAAGUACUGGUUUUCUCUUACCCUCAUUUGAACCUUUAUAAAUAAUGUCCAGGGGUUGUGCAUGUAUCUAGUACUGUGGUUCUCUAUCUCAUUUGUCAUUACCAUUCAUCACAUAGGUCUAGAAAAAUGUGUGCUUGGUUCCAACAGGUCUUUUUUUUUGGGGGGGAGGGGUGUCUAGGUCAGUAAUUUUAAAGUUCUGUUUUUUAAUCUUGUAUUUGUCUUAUAUGAAGAGUCAUCUUAUAAAUCAAUAAAUGAAGCUAAGAGAAUAAAGAGUAUAUAAAAGCAGGCCGGAUACUCCAAGUGUAUUUACAUUUGGGACAGGGAUCUAGAAGAAAGUCCGUAAGACCAACCAUAUGCAGCCAUUUCUUAGAUUUGACUAAGUUUGGUAUUGGGUAAGAGUGGCAGGAAGGAGAAUAAUAACAAGGUGAUUUAUGGGUUUUUCUGUCACCACUAUUAUCCUCUAGCCUUGUUUCCUUGUCUAAGAGUUUUUCUGAUGUUUCGUAUGUGAUCAUUCCAAAAUACGCAACACAUGUACACACACAUAUGUUCUACAGCCUGGGUCUAUUUUAAUUCAUCAGGGUUAAAAAUAAGUAAACAGCUGUGAAUUCUUAGCCAGUUGUCAAGAACUAACUUAAACCCUUUCUCCUUAUUCUCUAUUCUGCCAACAAGUUUCCCCCUACCCCCAAAGGGGUCCAGAUUCCAAUAUAACAUGUGUCUUAGGAGAGAAAAUAUAGCAUAUUGGUUAAGAGCAGAAGGACUGAGAUGUGUCUGGGUUGUAUGAGGAAACUAUCAGGAGACUGUCACCUAUUGCUAUGAAAUAUUUUAUUUCAUUUCAACUUUUAGUAUUUCAAAUAACCAAGGAGCAGACUAUUUGGCACUCAUUCUAGAUUUUAUUUCCCUAGUAAAGGAAGCUCAGACACUUUUCAUCAUCCUCAUCUUCAAAUUUACUUAUAAGGAAAAUAAAGCCAGUUGUAAUUUAGGUAGGGUAACCACAAAAGCUCAUGGUAUGCCCUGCUUUUAAAUGAUUUUUAAUUGCAUUAUUUUGUUCUUUCAUUAAUCCAAAUACAUAUAUUUUAGGUACCUACCACAUACUAACUCUGUAAGGACUGACUGGAGAUAAAUCAGUGAGCAAAAUAAAUCCUGCCAUCUGGAUGCCAAAUUCGGCACAUAACCUGGCAAGAGGAAAUAAAACCCGCCAGCUUGUUUGUUUGUUUGUUUGUUUAUUUAUUUAUUUAUUUAUUUAUUUAUUAUUUUAUUAUUUUUGUUUUAUUUUUAUUUUUAUAUUUUUUAGUCUGUCCUAUGCCUACCCAAAAACUCAUAACCCAUGUUGUCUUACCUUCAACUUCACCUCACUUCCAUUCUACUUCUGCCCAUGUAGUCUCUUAGUGGCUUAAAAUCCUAGUGUGACUUCCAGUAAUUCUCUAGUAUUUGAAAUAUUAGAAAGGUGUUAUUUAUAUUUAAUGACCAGCUCUUGUGCUGAAAUUGAUAACAAUUUAUUUCUACUUGCCAGAGAAGAAAACGGCUGGACACUUACAUUCUGUAAUUAUACAUCUGAUCUAUUGUUCUCUAAGUGGGAAAGGAUAGACAAAUGACUUCAUAUCUUAUGAUCAAACAGAGAGUCCUCAAUAAUGUUUUGUUGCAGCAAUGGGCUUUACACAGUUGUUUUGAUUUCCUAAGAGAAAUUACUAAAUUCAAGUUAUUUUCAUAUUAGUAAUUAAUAUGUGCUCAAGUACGUGUGUGUGUGAUCUUUGAUGAAAGGAACUGUGGUGAUAGUAGCUUCCUUAGCACGUAUCCUACUGCCUGCAUACGUUGUUGCUUAAUAGUUUUUUUUUUUUUUGCCAAUUUAUGUGGUGUGCCUUAGAGAAACUGCAGAAUUAGUAAUUUGUUACUGAUUUGAAAAAGGGAUUACAAGUCAGAAACAAAUGGUAUAGUAACUGAACAACAACAAAACAAACAACCAAAAGAAACAUACCAAACCCCAGUAGAAUAGAUCAAUGAAACCAGGAGCUGGUUCUUUGAAUAGAUCAACAAAAUUGAUAAACCUCUAGCCAAAUAAAUAAAAGACUAAAAAAAUCAUAAAUGAGAAAGGAGAAAUAAGAAACAGCAGAGAAAUACAAACAAUUAUAAGAGGAUAUUAUGAAAAAUUACAUGCUGACAAUUGGACAACAUAGAAGAAAUGGAAACAUUCUGAGAAACGUGUAACCUAGCAAAACUGAAAUGGGGGAAAUACAAAAUUUGAACAUACUGAUUAUUAGUAAGGAAAUUGAAUUAGUAAUCAAAAAACUCCCAAAAAAACAAAGUCCAAGAACAGACAGCUUCACAGGGGAAUUUUACCAAACAUUUUUUUAAAGAUUGUAUUUAGUUAUUCAUGAGAGACACACACACACACAGAGAGGCAGAGACACAGGCAGAAGGAGAAGCAGGCUCCAUGCAGGGAGCCUGAUGUGGGACCCGAUCCCAGGACUUCAGGAUCACGCCCUGGGCCGAAGGCAGAGGUUCAACCACGGAGCCACCCAGGUAUCCCUUUACCAAACAUUUAAAGAAGAGUUAGUACCUAUUUUUUCCAGACUAUUCCAUAAAAUGGAAGAGGAAGGAAAACUUCCAAAAUUAUUCUUUGCGGCUAGCAUUACCCUGAUACCAAAACCAGAUAAAGACAUUACUAAAAA
rnacentral:lncRNA from 1 species